GACGAACGCUGGCGGCGUGCCUAAUACAUGCAAGUAGAACGCAGUUGCGAACGGGUGAGUAACGCGUAGGUAACUGCCUCAUAGCGGGGGAUAACUAUUGGAAACGAUAGCUAAUACCGCAUACUGUGAGAUGGACCUGCGUUGUAGUUGCUAGUUGGUGAGGUAAAGGCUCAACAAGGCGACGAUAGCUAGCCGACCUGAGAGGGGGAUCGGCCAAACUGGGACGUGGACACGGGCCAGACUCCUACGGGAGGCAGCAGUAGGGAAUCUUCGGCAAUUGAGGGAAGGCUGACCGAGCAACGCCGCGUGAGUGAAGAAAGUUUUCGGAUUGUAAAGCUCUGUUUUUAGAGAAACGGUAACUAACCAGAAAGGGACGGCUAACUACGUGCCAGCAGCCGCGGUAAUAC
rnacentral:rRNA from 1 species